rnacentral:lncRNA from 1 species
UCGGAUACUAUGAGCUCAUUUUUUAUUCGUCCAGAACUUUAUUCAUGAAUAUCAUCAGCAAGGAUAAAAAAACACACAAUCCUCAAUUCUUGUUCACACUAACCAAAUGGUGUAUAUAAGGGAUUCAUCACCUCAAACAAUAAAAAACAUUCUCAUUGUACUGCAAACAUGACCAAUUAAGCAUAUAAUUAAUAUCAACAGAAACUAAAUCAAAAAUCCCUCCAAUAAAAAGGAUGCUUAAACUUAUCGUCCUCCUAUCUCGAGGCACCUAAUUUUUUUGCCACAGCAUAAGAAAAAGAAUAAAAGGAAAAUCAAACCAAGCAGAACCUACAACGUUCAAAUGCCAUCCAUCGCCAACUGCAUAAAAAGUCUGGCUUCCAACGACCUAACGGGGAAACAUAUAACAUACUCAACUUACAAAUCCAUUCAUUAACUAGAUAUACCUAUUAAAAACCCAAAGCAUCAAAUAUCCAACAAGUCAACCAAGCUUGACGGAAAUAUGGCACAGGACUGGGAGCAUUAAGAGCUUCAUGACCCAUUUUAGAAGCACUUCCGGUGAACUAUAGCUGGCCCAGAUUCAUCAUAUUCACCCUUGGAGAUCCAC